CCCUUAGAUGUUCUGGGCCGCACGCGCGCUACACUGAUGCAUCCAACGAGUUUCUUCCUGGUCCGAGAGGAAUGGGUAACCUUUUGAAAGUGCAUCGUGAUAGGGAUAGGCUAUUGCAAUUAUUGGUCUUCAACGAGGAAUUCCUAGUAGACGUAGUUCAUCAGACUGCAUCGAUUACGUCCCUGCCCUUUGUACACACCGCCCGUCGCUCCUACCGAUUGAAUGCUCAGGUGAGCCAUUCGGACUUUCAUCAUGCUGGUUUCCAGUUUUGAUGAAGGAAAGUCUUGCGAACCUUAUCAUUUAGAGGAAGGAGAAGUCGUAACA
rnacentral:rRNA from 1 species